rnacentral:rRNA from 1 species
GACGAACGCUGGCGGCGUGCUUAACACAUGCAAGUCGAACGGAAAGGCCCUGCUUUUGUGGGGUGCUCGUGUGGCGAACGGGUGUGUAUCACGUGUGUAACCUGCCCUUGACUUUGUGAUAACUUCAGGAAACUGCGGCUAAUACCGGAUAGGAGCUCCUGCUGCAUGGUGGGGGUUGGUAAGUUUCGGCGGUUGGGGAUGGACUCGCGGCUUAUCAGCUUGUUGGUGGGGUAGUGGCUUACCAAGGCUUUGACGGGUAGCCGGCCUGAGAGGGUUACCGGCCACAUUGGGACUGAGAGACGGCGCAGACGCCAACGGGAGGCAGCAGGGGGGAAUAUGGCAGAAUGGGCGGAAGCCUGAGGCAGCAACGCCGCGUGCGGGAUGACGGCCUACGGGGUGUAAACCGCUGUCGCCUGAGACGAAGCGUGAGUGACGGUAAUGGGUAAAGAAGCAACGGCUAACUACGUG